rnacentral:rRNA from 1 species
AUUGAACGCUGGCGGCAGGCCUAACACAUGCAAGUCGAGCGGAUGAAGGGAGCUUGCUCCUGGAUUCAGCGGCGGACGGGUGAGUAAUGCCUAGGAAUCUGCCUGGUGGGGGGGGUUAACUUCCGGAAAGGGGCGCUAAUACCGCAUCCGUCCUGAGGGGGAAAGUGGGGGACCUUGGGACCUCACGCUACCAGUUGACCCUAGGUCGGAUUAGCUAGUUGGUGGGGUAAAGGCCUACCAAGGCGACGAUCCGUAACUGGUCUGAGAGGAUGAUCAGUCACACUGGAACUGAGACACGGUCCAGACUCCUACGGGAGGCAGCAGUGGGGAAUAUUGGACAAUGGGCGAAAGCCUGAUCCAGCCAUGCCGCGUGUGUGAAGAAGGUCUUCGGAUUGUAAAGCACUUUAAGUUGGGAGGAAGGGCAGUAAGUUAAUACCUUGCUGUUUUGACGUUACCAACAGAAUAAGCACCGGCUAACUUCGUG